AGCCGCGGUAAUUCCAGCUCCAAUAGCGUAUAUUAAAGUUGUUGCAGUUAAAAAGCUCGUAGUUGAACCUUGGGUCUGGCUGGCCGGUCCGCCUCACCGCGAGUACUGGUCCGGCUGGACCUUUCCUUCUGGGGAACCCCAUGGCCUUCACUGGCUGUGGGGGGAACCAGGACUUUUACUGUGAAAAAAUUAGAGUGUUCAAAGCAGGCCUUUGCUCGAAUACAUUAGCAUGGAAUAAUAGAAUAGGACGUGCGGUUCUAUUUUGUUGGUUUCUAGGACCGCCGUAAUGAUUAAUAGGGAUAGUCGGGGGCGUCAGUAUUCAGCUGUCAGAGGUGAAAUUCUUGGAUUUGCUGAAGACUAACUACUGCGAAAGCAUUCGCCAAGGAUGUUUUCAUUAAUCAGGGAACGAAAGUUAGGGGAUCGAAGACGAU
rnacentral:rRNA from 1 species